UACGUAGGGUGCAAGCGUUGUCCGGAAUUAUUGGGCGUAAAGGGUGCGCAGGCGGUGGAGCAAGUCUGAUGUGAAAUCUCCCGGCUUAACCGGGAGGGUGCGUUAGAAACUGUUCUGCUGGAGUGAGGGAGAGGCAAGCGGAAUUCCUGGUGUAGCGGUGAAAUGCGUAGAUAUCAGGAGGAACACCGGUGGUGUAGACGGCUUACUGGACCACGACUGACACUGAGGCACGAAAGCGUGGGUAGCAAACAGG
rnacentral:rRNA from 1 species